AUAUAUUUGCCAAAGUCUUUUUCUCUUUCCCUUUUGGUAUAGAGAUUUAUUAAGGCUGUUUAUUGUUGCAGCCCAAGCACUUCCUUUCAUUAAAUCUAGUAUUGAUUAGCAUUUUCUUUCAUAUUAGUUAGGCUGUUUAAUUUAGUUAGUUGUUGAUCUUUGGUAUGCUCUAAUUUUUGGGUUUUAAGUUUUAUUCUUUUUUGUUUUGUUUAUGAUCUUUUAAUUUUAGUGUGUAUAUAUUUUUUCCCACGAUACUGUUUAUAGUUUCUUGUGUUUAAUGAAAACAAACAGGUAUGGCAUAGAGCAGGAGUCCCAACUUUUUCAAAAAAUAUGUAAAAUGGCCACAUUUGACAUAUCUUUUGUUUGUCAAUUUGCAGUCUCUACUUGUAUGAUAUCUAUGCUGUAACUUUGAUUUAAUCUCCAAUUUUUCUGGAUUCCUCUGUUCCCAAAAUUCUGUUGGGAUUAGAAAUUGUGGCCUCUUGUUGGUCAUCCUGGACAUUUCAUGUACUACCUCACUUGUCAGCAGAAGGAACAGAGCUGAGCAGGUUCUUUAGGGUGGGGUUGCAUUUACUUUAAACUACAUGAUUACUGGGCUAUGCUGCAUGGUGAGCCUGGGCUCCUCUACAAACCAUUUCUUGUUGCUGCCUUCAGUGUGGAACUUUUAGGUUUUAGCAUGUAAUUUGAUUGUCCAGGAAACUGCAUUCACAGCAAAGUGGCCAGUCACAGCCGCCCUUCAUUAUUCGCCACGUUUCUUCAGGAAUUUUCAUGAUGUAGGAACAGCAUGCUGUUGAAACCAUAUUUGAUCUGAAUUUGAGUUGUCCUGGUUCUAAUUCAAUACCACAUACUCCUUUUCUCUAUUCAUACAAGUCUCCUUGCUGUUUAUACAUGGUGUAAGUGGAAGUCUUUUUGUUUGAUUACAGGGACCAUGCUACUGGGGUGUUGGUGCUGCAAGGCCUUUGGCCAUGCUAUUUUGGAUGCUCAUUACAAAGCCUACCUAUAUGCUGGCAUCAACAUCAGUGGCACCAAUGGAGAAGUGAUGUCUGGCCAAGGUGACUGGAAUGGGGCUGGUGCUCACGCUAACUAUUGGUAUCAUGUGAAUGUGAUCUAUUGGUAGGGAAUUUUCUUUAAGAUUUUCCUCAGUAUAGUAUGGCUUGAAGGUAAUUCCUUGUAGUUGUGCAAAAUUCCCUUCGUAAUUUUGUACAUAUAGUUAUGGCAUCUCCUCUUGUUUGGCUUCUGGUGAAUUCUGCACCAAGUCCAUCAGAAGUGAUGGAGAGUACGAAACCACCAAUAAAAAGGCCAUUGAAAAGUUAGGGUUGAGGCACAAGGAACACAUUGCAGCUUACGGGGAAGGAAACGAGCACCGUCUCACUAAAAGGACAAGACUUCAGACAUCAACAACUUCAUUUGGGGAGUAGGAAGCAAUGGAGCCACCAUUAGAGUUGGUAGGGAGACAUAGAAAGUUGGCAGAGAUUAUUUUGAGGACAGAAGAUCAGGUUCUAACAUGGAUCCAUAUGUGGUCACCUCGAUGAUAGCUGAGUCCACCAUCCUCUGGCAUCCAUGAGAAGAUUACUCAACCAUUUCCCUGUGGUCUAUCAUUAUAAUUAUCCCCAAUUCUUCCAUUGCUAUCUUACUUAGUUUCAGCAUUUAUUUAGCCGUGGCCCCCUUGACUUUCAAGAUUAUGUUCAUAAAGACUAGGAUUCUGGGAACAAAACAUCAAAAUGACUGAAUUUUUUAGUUUUUGUUAUUAAAAAAACUGAUAAAUUGCACUUUUAUCCAA